rnacentral:rRNA from 1 species
UUGAAUGGCAAAGCCGCGAAUGGCUCAUUACAACAGCCACAGUUUAUUGGGUCUCAUUUUACUUGGAUAACUGAGCUAAUUGUUGAGCUAAUACACGCACCAAAGCUUCGACCGCAAGGAAGGAGCGCAUUUAUUAGAACAAAACCAAUCGGACUUCGGUCCGUCUAUUGGUGAAUCUAAAUAACUCAGCCGAUCGCAUGGUCUCGAACCGGCGACAAACCUUUCAAAUGUCUGCCUUAUCACCUUUCGAUGGUAGUUUAUACGCCUACCAUGGGUUUUACGGGUAACGGAGAAUAAGGGUUCGACUCCGGAGAGGGAGCCUGAGAAACGGCUACCACAUCCAAGGAAGGCAGCAGGCACGCAAAUUACCCACUCCCGGCACGGGGAGGUAGUGACGAAAAAUAACGAGGUGGUUCUCUAUGAGGCCCACCAUCGGAAUGGGUACAAUCUAAAUCCUUUAACGAGGAACUAUUGGAGGGCAAGUCUGGUGCCAGCAGCCGCGGUAAUUCCAGCUCCAAUAGCGUAUAUUAAAGUUGUUGCGGUUAAAAAGCUCGUAGUUGGAUCUGCGGCCGAGGAGAGUGGUCACCCGUUGGGUUGCUACUGCUUUUCCUGGCCUAAUUCUUCGGUUUUCCCUUGAUGCUCUUCAUUGAGUGUCUUGGGUGGCCGGAACGUUUACUUUGAAAAAAUUAGAGUGCUCAAGGCAAGCUUAUAGCUUGAAUAGUGGUGCAUGGAAUAAUAAAAGAGGAUAUUGGUCCGUUUUGUUGGUAAUGGAGUGAUAUAAUGAUAGAGGGGGACAAUCGGGGGCAUUCGUAUUGCGACGUUAGAGGUGAAAUUCUUGGAUCGUCGCAAGACGGACUACUGCGAAAGCAUUUGCCAAGAAUG